GACACUGGACAUUCUUUCCUGCAUGCCCUCCCUUCCCAAGUAGCUUAACCCUUUGGCCUCCUCCCAUAGGCCCUACCAUUUCUACACCGUGCCUCGAACAUACUGUACAUCUUCCUGGCAGAUGGGCUCGGGUAUAGGUAUAUCUAUCUAUUCACAGCACCAGCGAGCUAUGUACACUUCUUGAGAUAGAUCCUUGUGACUGGUUGUGGGCAGAACGCAGCGCAGCCGGAGGCAGCUACUCCAAAUAGUUUUACAUCGCUCUGUCUGCAGUGCACAUCCAACAGUGAACCUCAAAACUUCAAAAUGGGGUUUUAGCUGUUUCUAUAUCGACGUCGGACCUAUUCGAGAAUUAUUUUAGCCGCUUGCCGGAGAAGGGCAGAGAGGGGAUAGAGUGUGUAAUGAACGACACGGAUAAAGAGCAUGAAGGAGGCAGAGGGAGAAGGGAAACAAGAAAAUCCGAGAAAGAUCAGGUUUGGCUCAUCUAUUAUAAACACGUAGUUGGAUCUCCAAGAUCAUCAAGAAGAGAGUGUGCACCACAUUCAUAGAGGACUGCCUUAGUAAUGGGGCGCUGUGCCAGUGCGGGGGUGAGCGUGAAACGCACGGCUCCAUCGCUACGAGAGACUAUUUCGGUGCAGCCAUCGUCAGCCAGUGGGAUAGCUCUCAGCACUCCUCAGAGUACCCCACUGACGCCUUCGGAGAGUUGGAGUUCGCAGAGGCUGGCAGGAGACACAGCCAUUUCCUGCGCCUGUCGUGCGACACCACCCCUCAGAUGGUAUACACCCUGAUGACAGCCCACUGGGGGGUACCCUCCCCCAACCUGGUGGUUUCUGUGGUGGGGGGUGAGGGGUGCGAGAAAGUCAAGACCUGGGUCAGGGAGGUGCUGAGACAGGGGCUGGUCAGGGCAGCACAGAGCACAGGGGCGUGGAUAGUGACAGGGGGGCUGAGGGAGGGGGUGAGUCAUUGUGUUGGGGAAGCAGUGAGGGAUCAUGCGGCGGCGGCCUCCUCCCUGUCCCAGAAGAAAGUCAUCGCUGUGGGCGUGGCCCCCUGGGGGUUGGUGCACAACAGACAGCAGCUCAUCAACGCACAGGGUAGUUUUCCAGCACGAUAUUAUGUCCAGAACACAUCCCGUGACUCGUGCUGCCUGGAUAAUAACUACCAGGCCUUCCUGCUGGUGGAUGAUGGGAGUGUAGGCCGGCGGGGAGGGGAGAUGGUCUUCAGGGCCAAGAUGGAGGACUACAUCUCCCACCAACGCACAGGCAUCUGGGGCAGUGGCAGUAUAGAUGUCCCUGUAUUGUGUAUGCUCAUCUCAGGGGACGCUGCCAUGCUGGAGAGGGUGGAUCUCUCUCUGAAGAAGGCUACUCCCUGGCUGGUGUUGAAUGGUUCUGGUCCAGCGGCGGACCUUAUCUGUGAGCUGCUGGAUGCACUGUCAGCCGGGCCCAUGAGCCCCCCCUCUCCCCAGUCAGAGGCUGAGGGGAGCAAGAGCCCCAGUGCAGAACUGCGUGACAGGGCCCGUGAGAGGGUCCGGAGGCACUUUACUGCCGAGGCAGACCUGGAGAAGCUGGUGGACAGGGCUCUGAGUAUCUACCAGAACAGAGAUCUGAUCACAGUGUUCCACGGGGAGCAGGAGAGUUCUGAUGAUUUUGACACAGUGCUACUGAAGGCUCUCGUCAGAGCCAGUAAACGUGUGUCCAGCGAUGCCAGUGAGUACACAGAGGAGCUGAAGCUAGCAGUAGCCUGGAACAGGGUGGACAUUGCUAAGAGUGAACUCUUCAACGGAGGCAUCCAAUGGAAGUACGAGGACCUAGAGGAUUCCAUGACGGACGCGCUGAUCAACGACAAGCCCCAGUUCGUGCGUCUCUUCACCGAGAAUGGCCUCAACAUCCUGGACUACCUGACAUACCGGCGUCUGGAGGGCCUGUACCGCUCGCUUUCCGACAGCUCUCUGGCCUACACGCUGCUCCAGCGCCGCCUCACAGAGAGGCAGGGCUUGGCCGGGUCUCUUCCCACCGUCCCCUGCUCUCUGGACAGGGCCUCGCUCCUCAAGAGCCCCAUAUCAGAACCCUCGUCGGCCAAAGAGCUCAGCUUGUAUGAGAUGUCAAGGCUUCUAUGGGACAUCCUGGGAGAUGUGUGUGAGCCCUUCUACUACAGCCCUCUGAAGUUGGACCAAAGCACCAGCACCAGGAGAGCACUGAAGCACAUGAAAAAGUUGUUGCUGGAGGAGUGUACAUACAAGGAGCAACGCUGUCUCUCUCCCUGGGCCUCUCUGUUCAUCUGGGCCGUGCUGCAGAACCGCAGUGAGAUGGCCGUCUACUUCUGGGAGAUGGCAGGGGAGUCUGUCCUCAGUGCUCUGGCUGGCUGUAAGAUUCUGAGGGAGCUGUCUAAGCUGGAGAGUGAGACGGAGACCAAGCUCUCUAUGAAGGAGCUGUCCCAGAAGUUUGAGAACUUGGCCCUUGACGUGUUCAGUGAGUGCUACCAGAGCAGUGAAAGACGCUCCUUCACCCUCCUUAUAAGGAAGUCUCCUGUGUGGGGCGGAGCUACCUGUCUGCAGAUGGCCACUGCAGCUGACGCCCGCCUCUUCUUCAGCCAUGACGGCGUGCAGUCUCUGCUGUCUCAGAUAUGGUGGGGAGACAUGGAGAGGAGCACGAAAGUCUGGAAACUGGUCCUCACUUUCUUCUUACCCCCCCUCAUCUACACCAACCUCAUCACUUUCAGGGAACAGGAGGAGGAGGGGAAGUCGGAGGAGGUGACUCAUGGUCGGGACACAGACAGUCUGGAUGGAGGAGAUGCCACCGUGUUUUCUCUCGCCGACAUCAUGCAAACGGAAGAGGAUGCUGAGGAAUAUGCUGCUCUAAGGGCCAAACUGAAAGGUGCCUCCAAUCCCAAGAGGCCCUUCAUACUGCAGCGCUGGAGGGAGUUCUGGUUUGCGCCCGUCACCUCGUUCCUGGGCAACGUGCUGAUGUACUUCCUGUUCCUUUCCCUGUUUGCUUACAUCCUUUUGGUGGACUUCAAGCCUCCGCCGCCUCACGGCCCGUCCACCUUAGAGUUUGUUCUAUACUUCUGGGUUUUCACCAUGGUCUGUGAGGAGAUUCGACAGACGUUCUUCGUGGGUAGCAACACUAUAUAUCAGAGGAUGAGUCUCUACAUCCAGGACAUGUGGAAUAAGUGUGACAUCUUGGCCAUCUCACUCUUUGCCCUGGGCAUGUGCUGCAGAAUGUUCCCGUGGUCCUAUGAGUUUGGCCGUGCUGUGUUUGCUGUGGACUACAUGGUGUUUACCCUUCGUCUCAUCCACAUCUUCGCCAUCCACAAACAACUGGGACCCAAGAUCAUCAUCGUCGGCAACAUGAUGAAGGACAUCUUCUUCUUCCUCUUCUUCCUGGCGGUGUGGCUCAUGGCCUACGGCGUAGCCAAUCAGGCGCUGCUCUACUCCUAUGACCCCCGUCCCAAUUGGAUCUUUCGCAGAGUGUUCUACAGGCCAUACCUACACAUAUUUGGACAGAUCCCCAUACACGAAAUGGAUGCUGAUAAACUAGAGGAGAGGAUACAGUGCACCAAUAACGCAACCCUGAUCGAGGCAGGGGCAGAGCCCUGCAUGAGUACCUACGCCAACUGGCUGGUGGUCAUCCUUCUGGUCAUCUACCUGUUGGUCACCAACAUCCUCCUGGUCAAUCUGCUCAUCGCCAUGUUCAGUCAUACGUUCUCAAAAGUUCAGGAGAACAGCGACACCUACUGGAAGUUUCAGCGCUACAAGCUUAUCUUGGAGUACCAUUCCAGACCCUGCCUGGCGCCACCCUUCAUCAUCAUCUCCCACCUCCACCUCUUCAUCAAGAGGCGCAUCCGCAGGAUCCCCUCCGUCAAGAUCAAACACUUUGUUCUGGAGAUCCAUGGUAGGCAGGCCAGUAAACUAAACAUGUGGGAGGCCAUCCAGAAGGAGAAUAUACUGUCUGCCCAGAACAAACGAGAGCGGGAGAGCGACUCGGAGAGACUCAAACGCACCUCCGUCAAGGUGGACAGUGUCCUAAAGCAGAUGGUAAAGAUCCAGGACCACAACCGCAGGCUGAGAAUGCUAGAGACCGAGGUCAGUGUCAGCCUGGGCCGCUGCCUCUGGUCACAGCAUACACACACACACACACACACACACACACACACACACACACACACACACACACACACACACACAGCCUUAUAUACCCAGUGGCAACAAGUUUCAGUGGUCCUUAAAGGUGGGGAUGGCUUUGUGUGUGUGGAGGAGCGGAGCUAUUGAGUCCUUACCCCAUGACGCCUGUGCCUCUAGGUCAGCCACCUCAGUCCAAUCCCCGGUCACCGUCCGUUUAGGUUUAACUUUCCUUGUGGAUACCAGAAGUCCUCACAAGGAUAGUAAAACAAGGAAAAUUUGGACAAGUGUGGAUAUUUUGCCUGUCCCCACGAGGAGAAAUACUAUUUUAGGGGUAAGGUUUAGGGUUAGAAUUAGGGUUAGGGUUAGGUAUAGUUUUAGAUUUAGGGGUUAGGGAAAAUAACCUCUCUCUCCUUCUCGCCCCCAUCCCCUCUCUCUUGUUCCAAGUUGGAGUACUGUUCUAGUGCCCUCUCCUGGAUGGUGGACGCUCUCUCUCAGAGUAACUUGGUAAAGACCACACGUCCUCCGCCCGCUCUCAGAGAUCUGACCCCUCUUUC